UUGUUUUUCUUUUCUUUGCCUUUUCCCUGGCUCUUCUGUUCCUUUUUUAUUUUUCCUUCUGUUACUUGUAUGUUGUCAUAUAGCUGAACAAUUAUAAACCCUUAGCAGAUAUCAUAACAAGUUAAUUCUCUCUUCCCUUCAUAGUCAAUCCAUCACCAAGCCUUAAAGAGUGACCUGUGUCUCAUCCAUCCCACCCAUCACUAUUUUCACUGCUACAACCCUGUUCCAAGUACCAUUCCCUCUCACCUGGACAACUGCAGUAGCUUCUAACUGGUCUGUCUGCCAGAUUUAAAUAUUCCUGUCUUUGUGUAAUCUUUUUGAAACCUAAAUUAAUCACCAUCCUUGGCCUUCCUAAAAAGCUUUAAGUGGUUUCUCACUGUCCUCGGGUUUAAAACUAAUUUAUUUAUUUAUUUAUUUUAGGCAAGGUCUCACUAUGUUGCCCAGGAUGGUCUUGAAUUUCUGAACUCAAAUUAUCUCUUCCUACCUUGUCUCCUGAGUAACUUUUUUUGGUGGGGGGAGUAACUGGGGAUUGAACCCGGGGAAGCUCUACCACUGAGCUAUAUAUCCAGCACUACUUCUUUUUAAUUUUGAGACAGAACCUCACUAAGCUGUCAGCGGUGGCCUUAAACUUGUGAUCCUUCUGCCUCACCCUCCUGAAUCACUGAGAUUAUAGGUGUGCACCACCAUACCUGGCAAAACCAAAAUCUUCAGCAUGGCUUAUAAGACCCCGUAUGCUCUGGCCUCUUCUCCAUUUUGUCCGCUUCACUAUAGACACAGUGGCUUCCAUUUCCUCAUCUGUACCAGGCACCCUCCUAUUCCAGCACCUUUGCAUAUGUUGUGGUUGCUGCCCAAAAUCCUCAUCUCCCCCAGACCCCAUCUAAGUUAACUCCUUCAGAUCUGGGAGCAGUCACCACUCCUCAGAGAAGCCUUUUUUGACCUCUAUACUUCUCCUGUAUAAGAUUAAUCACAGUUAUAACUGUACACUUCUGUGUGACAUUAUUUGAACAAUAUUGAUCUCCCCACUAGAUUUCGAAAGAAGCAGAAAUUGUGCCUGCUUUUUUACUUUCCUCACAUCUUUAGCUCACACUACAGUAUUCAGAGCAUAACAGGAACUCAGGAAAUAUUUAUUAAAUGAGUAAUAGCAAAAAAAAUUAAAGACUAUAAAAUAGAAGUUGUAGUGAGGAGACUGUCAACUGUUUUAAUAGCAUUAGGACUGGGUGAUGUACAGAAAGGAGAGACCCAGAGCAUGCCAUCAGAAGGGCUUGCUGCUUCAGAAAGCAAGGCAGCAUGAAGCUCUGAGGGGAAGGAGACGUGGGUCUAUUGCCACCACUGCUUCUGACUUUUUUAUGUGACCAUGAGCAAGUGACUUCACGCAUCUCGGCCUCAGUUUCCUCAUCCAUAAAACAGAAACUAUUAGUACUGCUUGUUGUAAGGAAAUAAGGUAAAGAUAAAAAAAGCGGGUCACACACUUAGUCUAGUUCUUGACUUCGAGAACGGACCUUGAUUUAGAUUUUUUUUUUUUUUAAUAUUUUUUUGGUUGCUGAUGAACUUUAUUGUUUUUAUUUUUAUGUGGUGCUGAGGAUCAAACCCAGUGCCUCACGCAUCCUAGGCAAGCACGCUACCACUGAGCCACAACCCCAGCCCCUUGAUUUAGAUUUAAUUCCUACAUUUCCUCCCCAACUGGUACCAGUCAGGCCUUAUUAAGUAAAUGUACAAGGUCACAGAACCAGUUAGUUUGGGAUCAGGACUUCAGAGCCUGUGGACUUACCAUCCAGUGCUCUUUCGUUGAUGCCAGUUGCUAUUCAAGAGGCAAGAUUCAAACACUGGGCUGGAAGUCAGGUGCCUGGGCUUCUUUUCCCAGCUCCUGCAGUUCCCAGUCAUGGGACAAUUCCCUCCCUAUCUAUCUUUAACUACCUUGGUAAUAUGAUGUAUUUCAAAGUUCUUUGAAAGAAGGCACUGUAUAAAUGAUUGGUAUUAUUUAUAUCUGGAAAACUCGGUAAUUUUUAAAAUUCCACAUUUUCUAAUGAAGAAGCAAAAGAAAUAUGAGAUAGCUUCCUAAAACACUUGGUGUGCCCUGCUGAUAGGUGAUGCUUGGGUGUUAAUUUUUUCACUGAAAUCUGGAAGACUACUUGUUGGAGGCAAUGAGGCAUAUCCUUGUCCCCUGUGUUAGUCAGCUUUCCAUCUCUGACAAAAUACCUGAGGUUAUCGGCUUACAAAUUUAAAAAAAAAAAAAAAAGUCUUAUUUUGGCUCACAUUUUUAGAGGUAUCAGUCUCUUGGGGAGGAGAUUACUAGAAAUUGAACCCAGGAGUGCUUGGCCACUGAGCUAUAUCCCCAGCCCAUUUUGUUUUUAUUUUUUUAUUUUGGUACAGUGUCUCACUAAGUUGCUUAGGGGCUUGCUAAGUUGCUGAGGCUGGACUCAAAUUUUUUAUUUUCCUGCCUUCCGUGUUGCUGUAGGUACAGGCGUGCAUUUCCAUGCCCCGUUGAAAGUCUACAUUCAUGUUCGGUUGACCCAACUGCUCUGGAGGCCCAGGGUGAGGCAGCACAUCAUGGCAGAAAAAUACAGUGGAGGAAGCUACUCCCCUCAAAGAAACCAGGAAGCAAAAAGAGUGACCCACAAUGGCCUAAUUGCCUUCCACUAGGCCUCGCCUCCUAAAAGUUCCACCAUUCUCCAAUAGGCUAGUGACCAAGCCUCUAACACAUGGACCUUUGGAAGAUUCUUAUCCAAACUAUAGCACUCCUCCUAUCCCUUUUUUUUUAAUUUGAUUUCCUACAAUUUUAUAAACCUCAGCGAUUGCCUCUCAGACCUUCCAUGGGCUAAAAAACAGUGUAACCUGGUAUAGUGGCACAUACCUGUAAUCAGUAGCUCAGAAAGCUGAGGCAGGAGGAUCACAAGUUCAAAGCCAGCCUCAGCAACUUAUCAAGAUUUUAUCUCAAAAUAAAAAAUAAAAAGGGCUGGGGAUGGCUUGGGAUGUCACUCAGUGGUUGAGCGUUCUUGGGUUCAAUCCCUGAUACAAAAAAAAAAAAAACAGUGUAAUGAGGUUCAGCCAGUGUUGCUUCUUUUUGUGUGUUUAUUUUUGGAGGUAGUACUUGGAUUCAACCCGGGGGUGCUCUACCACUGAAUUACACCCAUAGCCUUUUUUAUUUUUUAUUUUGAAACAGGGUCUCACUAAGCUGCUGAGGCUGACCUCAAACUUGUGAUCCUCCUCCCUCAGCCGCCUGGCCUGGUGCUGCAUGAAACUGCAGCCACCAUUGAGGUAUAUUCAGAAACAAAGGUUAUGAAACCAUAACCUUGAAUCUAAGCUUCCUGCCUGUUUAAAGCUAGAUGAUUACAAAGUGGUAUUAUGAGUCUAUUUAAAUAGAAAAACUAAGAUAAUGGUUUCUCUUUCAGCUAAACAGAAAGAAUGUACUGACAACGUGAGCAGAGCUUUUGAACAAGGUAUUCUAUGUUUUGACUGUGUUAAAUAUGGAAAGAAAUUUUAAGCAUUGAGGCAUAAUUGUUCAUUCAAUUAGUAGCUUUUAUAUACUUAUCCUCUGAUAGGUACCUGGAAAUAUAAAAUAUGUAUGAAUUAUACUUCUGUCUUUAAAGAGUUCUAGUCUUGCUAUAGAAACAAACUGUGAACCAAAAACAGAAAUAUCCCAGUGAAACAUUAAAUAGGAGGAAGGUACUUCCAUUCCACUUUAGCAAGAAACUAAGGUAAGGUAUAGAAGUGAAAUAUUGGGCCAGGGAUAUAGCUCAGUUGGUAGAGUGCUUAUCUUGCAUGCACAGGGCCCUGGGUUCAAUCCCCAGCAUGACCAAAAAAGAAAAAAAAAGUGAACUAUUUAAAGUCUAUCAACCUAGAAUUCUGUACUAUGGUAUCAUCCUUCAAAUCUGAAGGAAAAAUACUUUCUUAGAGAAACAAAAACUAAAGGAAUUUGGUGCCAGCAGACCUGCCUUACAAGAAAAGCUAAAAGGAGUUCUUUAGAGAGAAGGAAAGACUGGGUAUGGCUUAGUGAUAGAGCACUUGCCUAGCGUGCACAAGACCCUGGAUUUGAUCCCCAGCACUGCAGGAAAAAAAGAAAUAGAAGAAAAGGAUACGGGUCUGAAAUUUGGGUCUACAUAGAGGAAAGAAGAUUAUUGGAAAAGGAAUAAAUGAAUGUCAAAUACUUUUUUUUUUUUCAUUAUUCUCAAUUGAUCUAACAAACAAGUUUGUUCAAAACAGUAAUAGAAGCCAAGUGCUGUGGCUCACAUUUGUAUUCUCAGCUAGUCAGGAAGUAGAGACAGAGGAUCACAAGUCUGAGGCUAGCCUGGGAACUUAGUGAGACCCUGUCUCAAAAAGAAAAUAAAAGAGCCUGAGGGUGGCUGAGUGGUACAGAGUCUGUGUGUGCAUCCAGUACGGGGUGGGGUCAAGGACAACACCCCCAGCCAUACUCAGUGCCACAUGUUUGUAAGCCACUACUUGGGAGGCUAAGGCUAGAGGAUCACUUGAGCCCAGGAGUUUAAGACCAAAGGCAACAGUAAGACUCUCAAAAAAAGGAAAGAAAUAAAAAGAUACAGGCUGGGCUGGGAUAUAUAACUUAGUGAUAGAGCACAGUACGCCCUCAGUUUGAUUCCCAGUACCACCAAAAAAAAUAAAAUAAAAGCCUCACUAUAUAAAUAUGACAACAUAUAAGUUAUAUAAGGACAUAUAAGGAGUGAAGUGAAGGGCCAGGGAUAAGGCUCAGUGUAGAACACUUAACCUAGCAUGUGUGAGGCCCUGGGUUCAAACCCCUACACCACCAAAAAAUAAAUAAAUAACCUGAUAAACUGUAUGUUUUACCCUAAUUUUCAGAUAUUUGGAUAUUUAAAAAGUUGCCAGAUACAGUGGUGCACAUCUGUAAUCCCACAACUCAGGAGGGUGAGGCAAGAUGAAUGCAAGUUCAAGGCCGGCCUCAGUAAUUGAAGAAGGCCCUAAGAAACUUAGUGAAAUCCUAACUCAAAAUAAAAAGGGAUGGGAUGUGGCUCAGUGAUAAAGUGCCUCUGGGUUCAAUCCCCAGUACCAAAAUAAAUAAAUAUAUACAUACAUAAAUACAAUAAAAUAAAUAUUAAGGGCUGGGGUUGUGGCUUAGCAGUAGAGCUCUCGCCUAGCUCGGGUGAGGCCCUAGGUUCGAUCCUCAGCACCGCAUAAAAAUAAAUUAAUUAGCUAAUUAAAAGAUAUUGUGUCCAACUAUAACUAAACAAAUAUUUUUUAAAAAUAAAAAUAAAUAUUAAAAAAGUAAGGAUAGCUGGGCAUGGUGGUACAUGCCUGUAAUCCCAGCAGCUGGGGAGGCUGAGGCAGUUCUUCAGUGCCUCACUCAGUGAGACUCUGUCUCUAAAUUUAAAAGAAAAAAAGAAAUGGUGUUCAAGCUCCCUGCAGGUCCUUUGCUAUUACAUUAAAUCUCCCUUUCACAGUGACCACUUUCCCAAAUUUUGUAUUAAUCAUUCCAUUGCUUUUCUUGUAGUUUUAAUGGAUAUAACGGUAAAUCACUUACUUUUGCAUAUUUUUUUAAUCUUUGUAUAAAUAGCAUCAUAGUUUAUGUAUUCUGAAACUUUUUUCUGUUAUUUUAUUUUCAAUAUGGGUAAUUGUAACAUAUCCUCACUUCAGCACUCAUCACAUUAUUUUGUAUUUAUCUAAGUCUGGUUUUCUCAACCUCAGCAUUCCGAGCAUUUUUUAAAUUUUUUUUUAGUUGUAGAUGAACACAAUACCUUUAUUUUAUUUAUUUUUAUGUGGUGCUGAGGCUCAAAGCCAGUGCCUCACACGUGCUAGGCAAGCGCUCUACCACUGAGCUACAGCCCCAGCCCCACAUUACCAACAUUUUGAGUCAGAUAAUUCUUGGUCAUAAAGGGCUGUCCUUUGCACUUUAAGGUAUUUAGCAGCAUCCCUGGCUUGUACCCACUAGAUGCCAGUAACACCUUCCAGGUUGGGUCAACUGAACAUGCCUCAGACAUUGUCAAAUGUCCCCUUGGAGGCAAAAUCA
rnacentral:lncRNA from 1 species